rnacentral:rRNA from 1 species
UCUCCUACGGGGGGCAGCAGUGAGGAAUAUUGGUCAAUGGGCGGAAGCCUGAACCAGCCAAGUCGCGUGAGGGAAUAAGGCCCUACGGGUCGUAAACCUCUUUUGCCGGGGAGCAAGGGCCGGGACGAGUCCCGGUCCGGAGAGUACCCGGAGAAAAAGCAUCGGCUAACUCCGUGCCAGCAGCCGCGGUAAUACGGAGGAUGCGAGCGUUAUCCGGAUUUAUUGGGUUUAAAGGGUGCGCAGGCGGCACGGCAAGCCGGCGGUCAAAUCGCGGGGGUCAACCCCGCCC